rnacentral:rRNA from 1 species
CUUGAGGUAUCGGAAGUGCGAAUGCUGACAUGAGUAGCGUUAAAGCGGGUGAAAAGCCCGCUCGCCGUAAGCGCAAGGUUUUCUACGCAACGUUCAUCGGCGUAGAGUGAGUCGGCCCCUAAGGCGAGGCAGAGAUGCGUAGCUGAUGGGAAACAGGUCAAUAUUCCUGUACCGAUGUGUAGUGCGAUGUGGGGACGGAGAAGGUUAACUCAGCCGGGUGUUGGAUGUCCCGGUUCAAGCUUGUAGCCGUGCCUGGUAGGUAAAUCCGCCGGGCUUAGGUGAGGAGUGAUAACGAGGCGGCUUGCCGCCGAAGUGAGUGAUACCCAGCUUCCAGGAAAAGCCACUAAGCUUCAGCUACACACGACCGUACCGCAAACCGACACUGGUGCGCGAGAUGAGUAUUCUAAGGCGCUUGAGAGAACUCGGGAGAAGGAACUCGGCAAAUUGACACCGUAACUUCGGAAGAAGGUGUGCCUUUAGUAGGUGAAGUCCCUCGCGGAUGGAGCCCAAUGAGGUUGCAAAGAAUCGGUGGCUGCGACUGUUUAAUAAAAACACAGCACUCUGCAAACACGAAAGUGGACGUAUAGGGUGUGACGCCUGCCCGGUGCUGGAAGAUUAAGUGAUGGGGUGCAAGCUCUUGAUCGAAGUCCCAGUAAACGGCGGCCGUAACGAUAACGGUCCUAAGGUAGCGAAAUUCCUUGUCGGGUAAGUUCCGACCUGCACGAAUGGCGUAACGAUGGCCACACUGUCUCCUCCCGAGACUCAGCGAAGUUGAAAUGUUUGUGAUGAUGCAAUCUCCCCGCGGAAAGACGGAAAGACCCCAUGAACCUUUACUGUAGCUUUGUAUUGGACUUUGAACAGAUCUGUGUAGGAUAGGUGGGAGGCUUUGAAGCAGGGUCGCUAGAUCUUGUGGAGCCAACGUUGAAAUACCACCCUGGUGUGUUUGAGGUUCUAACCUAGGCCCGUUAUCCGGGCCGGGGACAGUGCAUGGUAGGCAGUUUGACUGGGGCGGUCUCCUCCCAAAGCGUAACGGAGGAGUUCGAAGGUACGCUAGUUACGGUCGGACAUCGUGACGAUAGUGCAAUGGCAUAAGCGUGCUUAACUGCGAGACUGACAAGUCGAGCAGAUGCGAAAGCAGGACAUAGUGAUCCGGUGGUUCUGUAUGGAAGGGCCAUCGCUCAACGGAUAAAAGGUACUCUGGGGAUAACAGGCUGAUACCGCCCAAGAGUUCAUAUCGACGGCGGUGUUUGGCACCUCGAUGUCGGCUCAUCUCAUCCUGGGGCUGUAGCCGGUCCCAAGGGUAUGGCUGUUCGCCAUUUAAAGAGGUACGUGAGCUGGGUUUAAAACGUCGUGAGACAGUUUGGUCCCUAUCUUCCGUGGGCGCUGCAGAUUUGAGGAAGCCUGCUCCUAGUACGAGAGGACCGGAGUGGACGCACCUCUGGUGUACCGGUUGUCACGCCAGUGGCAUUGCCGGGUAGCUAUGUGCGGAAGAGAUAACCGCUGAAAGCAUCUAAGCGGGAAACUCGUUUCAAGAUUAGAUCUGCCGGGGCCUUGAGCCCCCUAAAGAGUCGUUCAAGACCAGGACGUUGAUAGGUCGGGUGUGGAAGCGCAGCAAUGCGUUAAGCUAACCGAUACUAAUUGCUCGUGCGGCUUGACCCU